CUCUGUAUGUGUAUGCGUGUUUGUGUGCACAUGCACAUGUAUGUACCUAUAUAUGUGUAUCUGAAUCCUU
rnacentral:pre_miRNA from 1 species